rnacentral:piRNA from 1 species
UCUUCUGCCUUCUGCCAUUGCACUCUCUGGU